UGUAAGUAUAUGCAUGUCCCUUAAGGUCCUUGUGUAAUUGUAAUGUGAUAUUGUACCCCCUAGCUCGAUUGUCUAUUGUUUAUAAUCUAUGUAUGCUUGUGUUCCCUCAUGUGCUUUAUGUAUUGAUUUGAUAUAAAAAAAUAAUAAUAAAAAAUAAAAUAAAAAUGUCGUAGUGGGGAACAGGAAAUUCCGGGUCGAAACGACAGAACUGUGUUGUUUUGUCGAUAGUGGUUGUGUCCGUUUCAAAUGUAUCAUUGUAGGUAUGUAAUAGCAUGUUUAAACUUGCUAAUGUUGAGAGAAUAUAUAAUACGAUAGGUAAAAAAUCAGUCAAGGUAUUAUCACGUUUGGUAAAGGUUUUAAUUGUAUGUGUUAUUUUGGGGUCAAACUGAGUGAGUGAAGAACGUGUAAAAAAAUAUUUUACAAGUCGCAUAACUAGACUUUGGGUUUAUCUGAGUGUAUGUACAUAAUUUCGUGAAAGUCAUUUCAUAAAGAUUCCACUUAUUUGAGGUCGUUUGUACAUGUUCUUGGUUUUGUGUAAAAUGUUGUUUAUGAGCUGUUAAAUAGCCUCGUCCGAACCAUCCUGUUCUCGCGAGUUUACAUACACUGUUUCGUUAAUGUAAGCUCGCGAGAUCAGGAUGGUUCAGACGAGGCAUGUCAAAUGGCGGCUUCAACGGUUUCCGUCGUCUUUCAAGGAGUUUGCUCGUGGUGAAAUGGCGACAUGAGGCUGUGUGAUGGAGUGUCAAAAUAGAGGGAAGCUAACUGAAGUUAUCCUUCACCAUUUGACCGACUCAGAUUAAGUCUGAGGCCGUUAACAUCAACAGUGAGGACAAACCCAGCCCGCCACUUUCCUUCCACACUGAGUAGAAACCUACAGUCACUGGGUCCUGAUUGUGACAGUGGAGCCCAGUUUGCACUGCAGGAUCCAGAGAUGGCAUCAGUGAAGCUGGAAGACUGCAGUCAAACACUGGAGCUGAAUGUCAACAUUAAAGAUGAAGAAGUGGAGGAGAAGAUUAGGACAACUGUUUGUCAUGGAUACCAUGUUGAGACAUUCUCUCCACUCAGAGAUCAACAGCAGGAAGAUCACAGAGCAAAGAGGUCUCAUCACUGCCCACAUUGUGAAUAUAUUUUCCCAUUUCUAUCAAAGCUAAAAAUACACCUAAAAAUACACACAGGGGAGAAGCCUUACUCCUGCUCUGACUGUGGGGAGAGAUUCUCUCAAAAGACCAACUUAAAAGCACACCUACAAAUACAUACAGGAGAGAAGCCUUACUCCUGCUCUGA